ncrna:Levilactobacillus koreensis L31-Firmicutes ribosomal protein leader
CUCUGUUCCAGUAAAUGGAUCAGGGCAAAGGAG